rnacentral:rRNA from 1 species
GACGAACGCUGGCGGCGUGCUUAACACAUGCAAGUCACGGGGGCCCGCAAGGGCAACCGGCGAACGGGUGCGUAACACGUGAGCAACCUGCCUAUCUGCGGGGGAUAGCCGGCCCAACGGCCGGGUAAUACCGCAUACGUUCACGAGGGGACAUCCCCUUGUGAGGAAAACUCCGGUGCAGAUAGAGGGGCUCGCGGCCUAUCAGCUAGUUGGUGAGGUAACGGCUCACCAAGGCGACGACGGGAGCUGGUCUGAGAGGAUGGCCAGCCACAUUGGGACUGCGACACGGCCCAGACUCCUACGGGAGGCAGCAGUGGGGAAUAUUGCGCAAUGGACGAAAGUCUGACGCAAGCGACGCCGCGUGUGGGAUGAAGCUCUUCGGGGUGUAAACCACUGUUGCCCGGGAAGAAUCUCCUGAUUCAUCAGGAUUGACGGUACCGGGUGAGGAAGCACCGGCUAACUCUGUGCCAGCCGCCGCGGUAAG